CGGACGGGUGAGUAAUGUCUGGGAAACUGCCUGAUGAGGGGGGAUAACUACUGGAAACGGUAGCUAAUACCGCAUAACGUCGCAAGACCAAAGAGGGGGAACCUUCGGGCCUCUUGCCAUCGGAUGUGCCCAGAUGGGAUUAGCUAGUAGGUGGGGUAACGGCUCACCUAGGCGACGAUCCCUAGCUGGUCUGAGAGGAUGACCAGCCACACUGGAACUGAGACACGGUCCAG
rnacentral:rRNA from 1 species